rnacentral:rRNA from 1 species
CGGGGUGCACCAGGCGCGAAAACUUUACAAUGCCGGCAACGGCGAUAAGGGAACCUCGAGUGCCAGGUUACAAAUCUGGCUGUCGUGAUGCCUAAAAAGCAUUGCAUAGCAAGGGCCGGGCAAGACCGGUGCCAACCGCCGCGGUAACACCGGCGGCUCGAGUGGUAACCGUUAUUAUUGGGUCUAAAGGGUCUGUAGCCGGCCGGAUAAGUCUCUUGGGAAAUCUGGCAGCUUAACUGUCAGGCUUUCAGGAGAUACUGUCUGGCUCGAGGCCGGGAGAGGUGAGAGGUACUUCAGGGGUAGGGGUGAAAUCUUGUAAUCCUUGAAGGACCACCAGUGGCGAAGGCGUCUCACCAGAACGGACCUGACGGCAAGGGACGAAAGCUAGGGGCACGAACCGGAUUAGAUACCCGGGUAGUCCUAGCCGUAAACGAUACUCGCUAGGUGUCGGCCACGGUGCGACCGUGGUCGGUGCCGUAGGGAAGCCGUGAAGCGAGCCACCUGGGAAGUACGGCCGCAAGGCUGAAACUUAAAGGAAUUGG